rnacentral:tRNA from 1 species
AAUAAGAUGGCUGAGUUUAGGCGUUAAAUUGUAAAUUUAAUAACAAGUUUAUAACUUUCUUAUUA